ensembl:lncRNA
CAUGUUAGGUCCUGUCUGAAACCCCACCUCCUCCGUCUCGGCAGUGGAUUCCUGGCCAGUGUUUAAUUGGAGAGUGGCAGGGCUUUUGCAAGAGGGAACCGAAUGCUCGCCCCACAUGGGAAACUCGUCUGGAGACGCGCUGUCUCACGGGGGGAAAAAAAUAAGAAAUCUUUUUUUUUUUUUUACGAGCCUGGACUCACAUUCCCAAGGAAAGGAGUGGAUCUGUGGGAAGAGGGAGGCCUGGUGAGAGAGAAAGAAUUCUUUUCAUUCACUGCUGAGGGAAGACGGAAGAGAGAGAGGGAGAGACAGAGAGGUGGAGGAGGAAAUGCGGGGAGGGGGGGGGGGAGUAAAGGACGUACGGGAACAGUGAGUGAAAAGCGGAGGAGCUGGGGUACGGCCGAGCAAGAGGGAGUCAGCGAGGAAGUGAGGGGGAGUGGUGGAGAGGUGAAAAGGGGCCCGUCGAAGGAGAGACGACCGAGGCAAGUAGAAAGCAGGAGAAGUUGAGAGCUGAGGCCAAGGAACGGAACGAGGAAAGCGGAGACAAGAGGCGGAGAGAGGAGGGGAACGCACGUUUAGAGAAGGAAGGUGAAGAAGGAAGGACAAGGAGAGCAGGCCAUGUGAGCGGGACGGGGGGGGGAAGCCGCUGCCUGUUUCGUGAAAGUCGGACGCCGGACUCCCCCUGGCAUGCACUCAGAGGGCGCAGGGCCGAGACGCCACCUCCGUCCCGGCGCUGGCUGUCGCCUCUGCCACCUCAAUGGGCCCCGUCCCGCCCCGGACCUCCGGGGCUGGCCGGAAGGGGACGUAAUGCAGCGGGAGAGGGGCCGAGGCGGACGCCACGUUCCGCUCGGGGACCUGCAGAGGAGGCAGGGUUUUAUGGGGCCAAGGCGCUGCGCGGUGCCAGGAGGACACGUUCCAAGUUUCCCCUGGGAGGGGGAUGCGUGCUGCUCUGCGGGACGGAAUUGGCCGAUGGACCAACCCAUCCGAGGACACUGCACCCUGCACGCUGACGAGUGGGCCAGGGUGCCGCCGUGCUGCCCCCCUGAGCUGUGCACCUUCGGCGCCGCACACGGACCACCCCCCCCCCUGCCAGCGUUGGAGUUCACAUGUCCUUCGGGACGCGCGGAAAAGCACUGCUGGGAAUGUGUGAGGGAGAGAUUCCAAAUUGCCACACACCUCCCCAACCACAGCAGCUUGGACACAUCUGGAUAUAAUGACCAUGUGCAGCACAGACCUCCGGCUCUGCUCGGCGGCGAUGAACCAGUGUACGCAUACCCAAAGUCCAACAGGCUGACUGCUCCAACAGAACUGGGCCGUAAUGGUCAGGAGACAAAUUCGUCCCGGAAGCCUUUCUUCACCACCGAGAUUCCAGAGGUGUCCCGCAGGCCUGCGAACGCAUUAAGGCUCCGAGCAGAGGGAGCACCGGGCCCUCCACGCCAAAAUACAAAAAGCCCUGGGACAGUGAGAGAGCAGAUUCGCAAGGUGGUCAGUGACCUGGAAGAGGUUCUUGGUGGUCUCAAACAGGUCCACCUAGAGAUGAAGGAGGUUGUGGAACAGAUUGAUCUUUUGACUUCUAACAUUGACCUUAGUGAAGAGGACCCAAAAAAAGACACUUCCCACAAUCCCCAGCUGCAAAAUGGUUCCUGUGAUGUGGUGGUGUUCGGUAACAAGCCCAAUGGAGAUCUCAGUUCACACCAGAGGGGUGUGAAUGGAUACCCCACCCCCAUGCAGCACACAAGGCCAAACUCUAUCACCAACCAACCACCUGUCUCCGAACCAAACCGUGCCAUCAAGCAGACCUUGAAGCACAGGAGUAACAUGAACGGCAGCUGUCUGCCAUCGCGACCCCCAAGGGAACGAGUCAAAGAUGCCCAGAGUCACCGGAGGAGGGCAGAUCCCAUGUCCCCGAGCUCACACCGGCAGGCCGCACAUCUGCCGAGCAAGAACCAAAAACCUCCGCCUUACCCCCAUAACGGGCGCAUCGAGCAGCUCUCUGGCUCCCUGCAGGCGGCCCCCAGCACCGGGGGGAGUAGGCAGCUGUCCACGGCUGUAUGA